rnacentral:rRNA from 1 species
UAUUGGACAAUGGGGGGAACCCUGAUCCAGCGACGCCGCGUGAGUGAAGAAGUAUUUCGGUAUGUAAAGCUCUAUCAGCAGGGAAGAAAGAAAUGACGGUACCUGACUAAGAAGCCCCGGCUAACUACGUGCCAGCAGCCGCGGUAAUACGUAGGGAGCGAGCGUUAUCCGGAAUUAUUGGGUGUAAAGCGUGUGUAGGCGGUUAAAUAAGUCUAAGGUUUAAGCCCGGAGCUCAACUCCGGAUCGCCUUAGAAACUGUAUAACUUGAGUAUGGUAGAGGUAAACGGAAUUUCUAGUGUAGCGGUAAAAUGCGUAGAUAUUAGAAGGAACACCAGUGGCGAAGGCGGUUUACUGGGCCACCACUGACGCUGAGACACGAAAGCGUGGGGAGCAAAUAG